UACGUAGGGGGCAAGCGUUGUCCGGAUUUAUUGGGCGUAAAGAGCGUGUAGGCGGCCAUACAGGUCCGUUGUGAAAACUCGAGGCUUAACCUCGAGACGUCGAUGGAAACCGUAUGACUAGAGUCCAGUAGGGGAGCGUGGAAUUCCUGGUGUAGCGGUGAAAUGCGCAGAUAUCAGGAGGAACACCAGCGGCGAAGGCGGCGCUCUGGGCUGGAACUGACGCUGAGGAGCGAAAGCGUGGGGAGCGAACAGG
rnacentral:rRNA from 1 species